UUCACCGGCUGCUCCACCGUCUCUGUCUCAUCCCCUUCUGUGGU
rnacentral:antisense_RNA from 1 species